ensembl:lncRNA
AUGUCAUGGCCACUUGUCUCUCUAUAUAAAGGGAGUGAUGGGUGGGCUGCUUUGGAUACAUGGACCUGGGGUGAAGGAGGGGGACAGCAGACAGAGGCUGCUGUUGCAACAAGACCCCUGGGGCUGGCCAGAAUUGGGAAAUGUAAGAAGAUGGUGCAGGCUUGUAGAUGUAAGUGUUCAUCGUGCCAUCUGAAGGAUUUACUACAGAGAAAAAAAGCAAGGAAAUUAUGCCAGAAAAAGAACAGGAAGACAAGUCAGCAGCAUACGCCAAUGCUCUGGUUGAAGACACUGCUUGACGUCAUGCUUUUCCAUGUCCUGUUUUCUUCCACGGCCAGCAAAAAGAAAAGCCUAUUUUGUGGCCGGCCCAAGACCACCAUAAUCAUCUUUGAUUUUACUUCUCUGCCCCCGGGUCUCUAAGUAAAAUCUGUCUCCUUUCACUGACAAAUGGUGUUUUGUGUGUUUUUGCUUAGCUGGAGAGUGACAACCUGGAGUACCCUGGCCUUUUUUUCAUGUUAACAGGAUAAGUGAGGUAUGAUGAUAGAUAGAGGGAUAAACAAGGGAGUCAGGGGGAAAUACACACUUCCUGCUUAAGAGGCUUGCUAAUGAAAUGUAUGAUUGGGUUUUGGCUUGGGAUAGGUUGAGAUGCUUUCUGGAUGUGAAAAGAACUUAACUUGGUUUGAAAGAGAUCUUCUAAGCUGGCUGGUCUGGGGUACAACAGCCAGAAAAUCCAUGACCAGAUCAUCAGCUUAUACUUCUAGCUCCACUUGUUGGUAAUUAGUAAUGAAAAUGCCCAGUUUUUCUAGAAAUUAGUUCAGGUCCUGUCAAGAUGGAGCCCAGGAACUGUGAACAUGAGGAAGGGCAAAAACAUAACAGAGGCCUAGAAUGGCAUAUGAGUAUUUAGAACUUUUUUUUUUAAGGAUGACAUCCCCAAGCAUCUUCUGACAGUAUACUCUAGAUAUAAUACAGUCUUGGGACCCUUGGGGUCAAGUAAUUCUGAUAUCUGUGUGGAAUCCCUUGUGUCAUUGAACCUGAAACUUGUAUAAAUAAUUCACAUGAAGGUACCACAUCAUCUCCUACCCCCAAUGCAUUACCCUUAAAUUGUAAAAGUUCUGCAAUCUUUAAAAAAAUCAUAUGCCAGCCAGACCAAAGUUGAUCUAUAAGACUGAGACCUCGAAACCCAAUUCUUCCAUCUUCUUUGCAACCUGAAAGAUGCAGAACCUAUUGUUGAGCCAUCUUAGGUAGGUCCCUGUGUUUUGUCCUACUUUCUAGAUAUCGAUGAGCUGCUUGUUCCUGCUGGAACAUGGGUUUCUCUGAUGGCCGAUUUGCUCUUGGUGGGUGCAUUUGGUCUUAGCAUGGGAGUGGGGAGAGAUUAUAGCUUCAAGGUGUUAUGGCAGGUGUCCCUGGGCCCAAGAACAGAGGCAUCUUGCAAUAAUGUUAUAGUUACAUUACCAGAUGAUGGUACUUUAAUAUAAAAUGUUAGUUAUAACAGUAGAUAGAAGCAGAUCUUGCAGUGGGACCCCACAGGAAAAGGUUAGUUAUAACAUUGCAACUAAAUAUAUUUUCAGUGGUGCCCCGUAGUAAUAUGCCAUAGUUCUGCCUUGAGGUGGUACCAUGUUGUAAUGCUCUACUGUAUCUUGUAAUAAUGUGCUGUAGUCACAUGUUUUGCGUACACUGGUGGAGUCUGGGAGAGAAGGAGAAAGCAAAAGAGGUCAUUAGGUUUUCCUGCUUCAUUCUGGUGCCAGUCACCUAUACCACCCUCACCAUUUUUGCCAGAUUUACAUAGAACUUGGCCUUGUUCACGUGCAUAUGUUAUUGAAGAGCUUAUAGUCUACAGAGUCAAAGUAACAGCACAGGGACACCUGCCUAGCAGGUGCCCCAAGGUUGAAAUUAAGUGCAAGAACUUUGAAUCAUAGUGUCUAAGGCAUUAAAUAUUUUUUGAUGAAAGUCCUGUAUGAAGUGAAAAAAUCAUGACUGAAGUUACACCUCACAGCAGCUUUUGUGAGUUAUGUCAGGUGACAGGGCCACUUGGAGGGACCUGGAAAAUAAAGGGCUGGAUAGUACAUGUUUUAAUUUUUGC